UUCCAUGGUACUCUGAUGAGGACCGUCCGUUGUUGUGUUCCACUGGCUGAGAGGAAGAAACCUCACAUCUUCCUCUUGGCCUUUCUCCUCUGAGAACCCUGGCGCCAUCUUGAAGGAUAUUCCAGCUCAUGUAACUGAUGUCACGACAGAUUCUCAAACACUUGGUUUCUCCUGAGGGGUUUGUCUAUAGAACUGAAGACUUCAGACAGCACUGUAUCCCAGCAUGCAUCUCUGCUCACUCAGACCACACCCCCAUGAGUAGGAUGCAACACUCUAGUGAUGGAGAUGUAGAGUUUUAUAAGUAACGAGGGAGCAGACAAAGGUGAUUAGAACACUAUGGAAUGUCAAGUCUGUAAAUCUUUAAACCAUGAAGAUGGUUGGAUAGUUCAGGAAUUGGGCUUCUCUUCAUCAUUGGCAGUCCUUUCACUCAGAUGCCCACUUCUCACUGGAGCUGUAUAUGUGUUGGCUGGCUGGCAUGAUUUGCUGUUGGUGAUGAGGCGGUCAGGGUGACAUUGCAGGGCUAUGGUCUGCUCGCUGUGAGCGGCUUGCCGUGAGCUCAACGUUUAGAUUUGCUCUGUAUGGUUUUUACCCUGAAUAAUCUAGAUAAUUGUAAAAUGUAGACACGCUUUUGUAUUGAAUGAUUCCAGGAUUUUAUGUUUAAAGUUGUUGUGGGACGAACAUGGUAGUUUGGUUCUUCGUACGGUUUUAAGUGAUAUAACUUGUAUACACUGGGUGCGUAAUAAUGUAAAGGUACACUGAAUAGUAUUAAUGACCAACAGCAACAAACAGAUCUCCUCAAGGUAAGUCUGUUGGCUGUGUUUUAAUGAAGACCAUCGCUGGACUUCAGGAUCUUCCUCCGUUCAGCUCAAGGUGAGGCGCUGGUUCUGUUUUUUCUUUGGUUGGUUCCGGCUGGAAUGUUCGGAUUCCAGUCGGACGGUUUGUGCUUCCCGCCGUGGAAGUUUCUGAGUGCGGUAAUUUGAUUUAGUCCCAAUGGUUGGCAUAGAACGUUGUAGUCUUAAACCAUAAGAAACCACCUGGCAGUUAGUUGGACGGGAGUCCCCUGAGGGAAUCAGGCGGAACGUUCUGGAUUGUAUUUGCGUAACCUCGAGCCGUUGCCAACGGAAAAUAUUUUUCAGUCGGUUUCCAUUGGGAAUGGUUGCCCCCUAUCUUAAACAACUUAAGUUUGAUAUUAAAUACAUACUGACACGUACGUCGUACAAUAUGUUGAUAAUUUCCGAUGGUUGCACCGUACUUUUAACCACGAUGACGUGACGGGACUCUCACUACGUACAAAACAGCGUUCUACUUGCGGGCCCAUUUUUGACAUCAGUGAAGGCUGAAAAUAAUUUCAAGGUGGAAGCUAAUUUGACAUUUCUUCAACGGAACCCAGCACCUGAAUAUGGCUGAGUAUAUUUGAUUUACUAUCGAUACUGCUUCGUGUUCUUUGUUACUUCAGCUUUUGUAUGUUCUAAAUAUCUGCUGUCAUUAAUUGCCACAGAAGAUAAACCCUACCCGAUGGAAUGAUGUUAAACAACGACUUUGGUGCAGAGUUACCAACUGGAUAAUAUCAAAGCUAAAAUAAUGUCUGCCCUUCCCACAUGUUACAGUAGAAGAUACUCCUAGAACUGUACAAGGUUGAAAAGGUAACAUGUAGUUUGUCCCAAGGUGUCUGCCUCCUCACCCAGAGCAAGACCUCCACCUCCUCACCCAAAGCCAGACCUCCACCUCCUGUCAGAAGUCCUCCAGAACAGCUGAAAGGCGAGGCUGGGGACCGGAGGCUUGUGGUGCCAGAGUGGACCGGAGACUGAGGCUGGAGACCAGGGGCCUGCAGCACCGGACCAGAGGACCAGGAAUCCAUGGCUGAAGGAGCUGAUGGAGGAGCCGUGCUGAAGGAGCUGAUGGAGGAGCCGUGCUGACGGAGCUGAUGGAGGAGCCGUGCUGAAGGCCCUGCCUGAUGGAGGAGCUGGUGGAGGGCCUGCCUGGUGAAUGACGUCCGUCGUGGGGUAGAUGGAGCCUGACUCUGAAACCAGGACUCUGUCUGAGGAGAGCUGCUGGAGGAGCUGAGACGCUGGAGGACGACUAGGAAUCGUCCAACAAGGAUUCCUCGUAAAACGUGUUUCUGGAGCGGAGGCGAGCUGGUAGGGGCGCCGUGAAUCUGGAGGAUGACCAUCACUCUACCAACAAGGAGUACUUUAGGGCCAGACUCGCGCUGUUUGUUCCAGACUAGGACUCUGGCUGAGGAGAGCUGAUGGAGGAGCCAAGACUCUGGAGGACGACAUCACUCUACCAACCAGGAUCCUCACCAGGAAUCUGGAGGACCGAUGGAGAAGCCGUACAUCUGGAAGGCAACUCCUUAGGACAACCAGGACUCUACCAUCAAGGAUUCCUUAUAAGUUUGCAUUAUCUGGACAUAGUGGACUAGACACACCUGAGCUGAACCUCACCUGAUCCAGUUUUGUCGGGGGUAGACACACCUGAGCUGAACCCGCCCCAAUCCUGACAUCCUGCUGGUCCCGUCUCCUCAGUUCAUCUGAGCCUCGUCCUCCAGAAGACCUGCUGAGCUCAGCAGUCUGAGGCUGAUGGAUCAAUGACCUCCAGUGG